GACGUAGGGCGCGAGCGUUGUCCGGAUUUAUUGGGCGUAAAGAGCUCGUAGGCGGCUUGUCGCGUCGUCCGUGAAAACUUGGGGCUCAACCCCAAGCUUGCGGUCGAUACGGGCAGGCUAGAGUUCGGUAGGGGAGACUGGAAUUCCUGGUGUAGCGGUGAAAUGCGCAGAUAUCAGGAGAAACACCGGUGGCGAAGGCGGGUCUCUGGGCCGAUACUGACGCUGAGGAGCGAAAGCGUGGGGAGCGAACAGG
rnacentral:rRNA from 1 species